GAGGAGGUGGAAAAGCAACAGGAUGAAGAGAUUGAAACGAAACCUGAACCCCCGGACCCUUACGCACUCGAAGCCGCCGAGAAAG
rnacentral:rRNA from 1 species